CGUCACAAGAUUCUACGGCUGCCAAUUCAAUCCAGUUGGUGGGGGACGGGCGCACUUAGGAUGUGGUAAACUGCAAGAGGCUGAGGACCACGCUUGUUUGGCUCGUACUUUAUCGCCAGUUCCCGGCACGGCGCCUGCUCCGUGGUAAACUUCUCAGCAGACACAAUGAGGUAGUGCCUGUGGUAGACCCAUGGGCAAAGUAAGGUAACUGAGGC